rnacentral:rRNA from 1 species
UAAGCAAUGCGAAUUGCAGAAUUCCGCGAAUCAUCAGAUCUUUGAACGCAAAUGGCGCCAGAGGGAUAUCCUUCUGGCAUGUCUGUUUCAGUGUCUGAGAGGUUUCACAAUAAUCUUAAUGUGAUUGAAUGUGGCUUGUUUAAUGAGCAAUCAUUAUCUUGCUGUUUUUCUCUCAUGAAAGAUGCGCAAGGGGAUCUUUCGGUCCAAUGAAGUGGUCACAUCACUCGAAUGUGAUUUCAUUGGAAGCACCGAAUUAUCAUUUUUAUCUUGCGGUAUCAUAUUAUUAUUGGAUAUUUUUCCUUCAAAAGAAAGAAUAUUCUAUACUCUCUAUACCCUGCAUCUGAGAUAGGCAAGAUCACCCGCUGAACUUAA